UACGGGGGGGGCAAGCGUUGUUCGGAAUUACUGGGCGUAAAGGGUUUGUAGGUGGCUCGCUAAGUCAGACGUGAAAUCCCUCAGCUUAACUGGGGAACUGCGUCUGAGACUGGCAAGCUUGAGUGCAGGAGAGGAACGCGGAAUUCCAGGUGUAGCGGUGAAAUGCGUAGAUAUCUGGAGGAACACCGGUGGCGAAGGCGGCUCACUGGCCCGAUACUGACGCUGAGGUGCGAAAGCGUGGGGAGCAAACAGG
rnacentral:rRNA from 1 species